UAGGGAAUCUUCGGCAAUGGACGAAAGUCUGACCGAGCAACGCCGCGUGAGUGAAGAAGGUUUUCGGAUCGUAAAACUCUGUUGUUAGAGAAGAACAAGGACGUUAGUAACUGAACGUCCCCUGACGGUAUCUAACCAGAAAGCCACGGCUAACUACGUGCCAGCAGCCGCGGUAAUACGUAGGUGGCAAGCGUUGUCCGGAUUUAUUGGGCGUAAAGCGAGCGCAGGCGGUUUCUUAAGUCUGAUGUGAAAGCCCCCGGCUCAACCGGGGAGGGUCAUUGGAAACUGGGAGACUUGAGUGCAGAAGAGGAGAGUUGAAUUCCAUGUGUAGCGGUGAAAUGCGUAGAUAUAUGGAGGAACACCAGUGGCGAAGGCGGCUCUCUGGUCUGUAACUGACGCUGAGGCUCGAAAGCGUUGGGAGCAAACAGG
rnacentral:rRNA from 1 species